rnacentral:rRNA from 1 species
GACGAACGCUGGCGGCGUGCUUAACACAUGCAAGUCGAACGAUGAAGCUGGAGCUUGCUCCAGUGGGUUAGUGGCGAACGGGUGAGUAACACGUGAGCAAUCUGCCCUUGACUCUGGGAUAACUGCGGGAAACUGUAGCUAAUACCGGAUACGACACCUUGGGGCAUCCCGGGGUGUGGAAAGAAUUUCGGUCAAGGAUGAGCUCGCGGCCUAUCAGCUUGUUGGUGAGGUAAAGGCUCACCAAGGCGACGACGGGUAGCCGGCCUGAGAGGGUAACCGGCCACACUGGAACUGAGACACGGUCCAGACUCCUACGGGAGGCAGCAGUGGGGAAUAUUGCACAAUGGGCGAAAGCCUGAUGCAGCAACGCCGCGUGAGGGAUGACGGCCUUCGGGUUGUAAACCUCUUUUAGCAGGGAAGAAGCGAAAGUGACGGUACCUGCAGAAAAAGCACCGGCUAACUACGUGCCAGCCGCCGCCGUAA